UGUCCUAUGGUGUAAUGGUAGCACGUCAGAUUUUGGUUCUGCCUGUUUAGGUUCGAAUCCUGAUAGGACAA
rnacentral:tRNA from 1 species